rnacentral:rRNA from 1 species
GACGAACGCUGGCGGCGUGCCUAAUACAUGCAGGUCGAGCGGACUGAUGAAGAAGCUUGCUUCUUCUGAGGUUAGCGGCGGACGGGUGAGUAACACGUAGGCAACCUGCCCUUUGGACUGGGAUAACUACCGGAAACGGUAGCUAAUACCAGAUAAUUCACUUCUUCGCAUGAGGGAGUGAGGAAAGACGGAGCAAUCUGUCACCAGAGGAUGGGCCUGCGGCGCAUUAGCUAGUUGGAGAGGUAACGGCUCCCCAAGGCGACGAUGCGUAGCCGACCUGAGAGGGUGAUCGGCCACACUGGGACUGAGACACGGCCCAGACUCCUACGGGAGGCAGCAGUAGGGAAUCUUCCGCAAUGGGCGAAAGCCUGACGGAGCAACGCCGCGUGAGUGAUGAAGGUUUUCGGAUCGUAAAGCUCUGUUGCCAAGGAAGAACGUCUCGUAGAGUAACUGCUACGAGAGUGACGGUACUUGAGAAGAAAGCCCCGGCUAACUACGUGCCAGCAGCCGCCGUAAUAC